rnacentral:rRNA from 1 species
GAUGAACGCUGGCGGCGUGCCUAAUACAUGCAAGUCGAGCGAACAGAUGAGGAGCUUGCUCCUCUGACGUUAGCGGCGGACGGGUGAGUAACACGUGGAUAACCUACCUAUAAGACUGGGAUAACUUCGGGAAACCGGAGCUAAUACCGGAUAAUAUAUUGAACCGCAUGGUUCAAUAGUGAAAGACGGUUUUGCUGUCACUUAUAGAUGGAUCCGCGCCGCAUUAGCUAGUUGGUAAGGUAACGGCUUACCAAGGCAACGAUGCGUAGCCGACCUGAGAGGGUGAUCGGCCACACUGGAACUGAGACACGGUCCAGACUCCUACGGGAGGCAGCAGUAGGGAAUCUUCCGCAAUGGGCGAAAGCCUGACGGAGCAACGCCGCGUGAGUGAUGAAGGUCUUCGGAUCGUAAAACUCUGUUAUUAGGGAAGAACAAAUGUGUACGUAACUAUGCACGUCUUGACGGUACCUAAUCAGAAAGCCACGGCUAACUACGUG